GCGCUAACAGCUUGGUCCCAGUCAUGGGGUAGAUUUAUACCCCGGAUCCUUUAUUCCAGGCUGCUCCUGGGGGUCACUAGGGCAAUAUGCUCUGCUCCUGGGGGGUAACUAGGGCAAGAUGCUCUGCUCCUGGGGGUCACUAGGGCAAGAUGCUCUGCUCCUGGGGGUAACUAGGGCAAGAUGCUCUGCUCCUGGGGGUAACUAGGGCAAGAUGCUCUGCUCCUGGGUCUGAAUGCUCUGUAUGUCAGGAUGCAGAAUAAUGAUCUGAUUUGGGUGAGAUGCUCUGCCUGCUCUACCUAUAGAUGUAAUGCUACUCCCCUCAGUGCAGGGAGAUAUGCUCUGCAGGCCUUGCAGAACAGACACUGUCACUCUUGCAGAGCAGAGCUGGCCCUGUGUGUGUGCAGAGCUGGCCCUAUGUGUGUGCAGAGCUGUGCAGAGCAGAGCUGGCCCUGUGUGUGUGCAGAGCUGUGCAGAGCAGAGCUGGCCCUGUGUGUGUGCAGAGCUGGCCCUGUGUGUGUGCAGAGCUGUGCAGAGCAGAGCUAGCCCUGUGUGUGUGCAGAGCUGUGCAGAGCAGAGCUGGCCCUGUGUGUGCAGAGCUGGCCCUGUGUGUGUGCAGAGCUGUGCAGAGCAGAGCUGGCCCUGUGUGUGUGCAGAGCUGUGCAGAGCAGAGCUGGGUAGAUGCUGAGGUUGCUCUGCCCAUACUAUCCUGUGUGAUGUCA